rnacentral:rRNA from 1 species
GACGUAGGGGGCGAGCGUUGUCCGGAUUCAUUGGGCGUAAAGCGCGCGUAGGCGGCUGCGCAAGUCGGUUGUGAAAUCCCGGGGCUCAACCCCGGAACUGCGUCCGAUACUGCGUGGCUAGAGGUAGGUAGGGGAGAUCGGAAUUCCUGGUGUAGCGGUGAAAUGCGCAGAUAUCAGGAGGAACACCGGUGGCGAAGGCGGAUCUCUGGGCCUUACCUGACGCUGAGGAGCGAAAGCUGGGGGAGCAAACAGG